rnacentral:lncRNA from 1 species
UAUGAGAGGCAGAUGAAUCGAUUCGAGUUCUUUAACCAUGCAUGGUGAACCUAGCUGUAACGGCCUCGGAUAAAAAUCCUUUGCAUCAAUCUUAAUCCGAGUCCCUUAUCAGCUUUCUCAGUUUUCCAAGCCUAAGUGUUCAACCUCCAGAUCUCCCAACCCUUCGAUCCGACCCCUCGCCGUGGUCUCCCCAGUUCCGACCCCCAACCCACC